rnacentral:misc_RNA from 1 species
CCGUCAAUUCCUUUAAGUUUCACUCUUGCGAGCGUACUCCCCAGGUGGCUAACUUAUCACUUUCGCUUGGUCUCUGAAGCUUGCGCCCCAAAAACGAGUUAGCAUCGUUUACGGCGUGGACUACCAGGGUAUCUAAUCCUGUUCGCUCCCCACGCUUUCGUCCCUCAGCGUCAGUUAUAACUUGGUAACCUGCCUUCGCAAUUGAUGUUCUAAGUAAUAUCUAUGCAUUUCACCGCUACACUACUUAUUCCAGCUACCUCAAUUAUACUCAAGACUUACAGUAUCAAUGGCAGUUCUAUCGUUAAGCGACAGGCUUUCACCACUGACUUAUAAGUCCGCCUACGGACCCUUUAAACCCAAUAAAUCCGGAUAACGCUUGCACCCUCCGUAUUACCGCGGC